rnacentral:tRNA from 2 species
GUAGUCGUGGCCGAGUGGUUAAGGCGAUGGACUUGAAAUCCAUUGGGGUCUCCCUGUGCAGGUUAGAAUCUUGCAGACUACG